rnacentral:rRNA from 1 species
CCUACGGGAGGCAGCAGUGGGGAAUUUUGGACAAUGGGCGCAAGCCUGAUCCAGCCAUGCCGCGUGAGUGAAGAAGGCCUUCGGGUUGUAAAGCUCUUUCGGCAGGAACGAAAUGGUUCGUGCUAAUACCACGGACUGAUGACGGUACCUGAAGAAGAAGCACCGGCUAACUACGUGCCAGCAGCCGCGGUAAUACGUAGGGUGCAGGCGUUAAUCGGAAUUACUGGGCGUAAAGCGUGCGCAGGCGGUUUCUUAAGUCAGAUGUGAAAGCCCCGGGCUUAACCUGGGAACUGCGUUUGAAACUGGGAGACUUGAGUGUGGCAGAGGGGGGUGGAAUUCCACGUGUAGCAGUGAAAUGCGUAGAUAUGUGGAGGAACACCGAUGGCGAAGGCAGCCCCCUGGGUUAACACUGACGCUCAUGCACGAAAGCGUGGGGAGCAAACAGGAUUAGAUACCCUGGUAGUCCACGCCCUAAACUAUGUCAACUGGUUGUCGGGGGAUUAACUCCCUUGGUAACGAAGCUAACGCGUGAAGUUGACCGCCUGGGGAUACGGCCGCAAGGUUAAAACUUAAAUGAAUUGACCGG